AGCGAACGCUGGCGGCAGGCUUAACACAUGCAAGUCGAGCGGGCACUUCGGUGUCAGCGGCAGACGGGUGAGUAACACGUGGGAACGUACCCUUUGGUUCGGAAUAACGCUGGGAAACUAGCGCUAAUACCGGAUACGCCCUUUUGGGGAAAGGCUUGCUGCCGAAGGAUCGGCCCGCGUCUGAUUAGCUAGUUGGUGGGGUAAUGGCCUACCAAGGCGACGAUCAGUAGCUGGUCUGAGAGGAUGAUCAGCCACACUGGGACUGAGACACGGCCCAGACCCCAAGGGGAGGCAGAAGGGGGGAAAUUGGGAAAAGGGGCCAAAGCCUGACCCACCCAGGCCGGGGGGGUGAUGAAGGCCUUGGGGUUGUAAAGCUCUUUUGUCCGGGACGAUAAGGACGGAACCGGAAGAAUAAGCCCCGGCUAACUUCGU
rnacentral:rRNA from 1 species